GUACCUACGGGAGGCAGCAGUGAGGAAUAUUGGUCAAUGGGCGCAGGCCUGAACCAGCCAAGUCGCGUGAGGGAAGACUGCCCUAUGGGUUGUAAACCUCUUUUAUAAGGGAAGAAUAAUGACUACGUGUAGUCAGAUGCCCGUACCUUAUGAAUAAGCAUCGGCUAACUCCGUGCCAGCAGCCGCGGUAAUACGGAGGAUGCGAGCGUUAUCCGGAUUUAUUGGGUUUAAAGGGUGCGUAGGCGGUCCGGAAAGUCAGCGGUAAAAGCCCGGGGCUCAACCCCGGCGAGCCGUUGAAACUGUCG
rnacentral:rRNA from 1 species